rnacentral:rRNA from 1 species
GAUGAACGCUGGCGGCGUGCCUAAUACAUGCAAGUCGAACGCGAGAGGAGGGAGCUUGCUCCCUCUGAUCGAGUGGCGGACGGGUGAGUAACACGUAGGCAACCUGCCCAUCAGUCCGGGAUAACCGCGGGAAACCGUGGCUAAUACCGGAUGAUCCUCUCCACCGCGGGGUGGGGAGUUGAAAGACGGUUUCGGCUGUCGCUGAUGGAUGGGCCUGCGGCGCAUUAGCUGGUUGGCGGGGUAACGGCCCACCAAGGCAACGAUGCGUAGCCGACCUGAGAGGGUGAUCGGCCACACUGGGACUGAGACACGGCCCAGACUCCUACGGGAGGCAGCAGUAGGGAAUCUUCCGCAAUGGACGCAAGUCUGACGGAGCAACGCCGCGUGAGUGAAGAAGGGUUUCGGCUCGUAAAACUCUGUUGUUAAGGAAGAACGACAGGUAGAGUAACUGCUACCUGUGUGACGGUACUUAACCAGAAGGCCACGGCUAACUACGUGCCAGCCGCCGCGGUAA